rnacentral:rRNA from 1 species
UACGUAGGGUGCAAGCGUUAAUCGGAAUUACUGGGCGUAAAGCGUGCGCAGGCGGUUGGGCAAGUCAGAUGUGAAAUCCCCGGGCUUAACCUGGGAACUGCAUUUGUGACUGCACGGCUGGAGUGCGGCAGAGGGGGAUGGAAUUCCGCGUGUAGCAGUGAAAUGCGUAGAUAUGCGGAGGAACACCGAUGGCGAAGGCAAUCCCCUGGGCCUGCACUGACGCUCAUGCACGAAAGCGUGGGGAGCAAACAGA